rnacentral:rRNA from 1 species
GUGGGGAAUAUUGGACAAUGGGCGAAAGCCUGAUCCAGCCAUGCCGCGUGUGUGAAGAAGGUCUUCGGAUUGUAAAGCACUUUAAGUUGGGAGGAAGGGCAGUAAGUUAAUACCUUGCUGUUUUGACGUUACCGACAGAAUAAGCACCGGCUAACUCUGUGUCAGCAGCCGCGGUAAUACAGAGGGUGCAAACGUUGCUCGGAAUUACUGGGCGUAAAGCGCGUGUAGGCUGACAUGCAAGUCGGGUGUGAAAUCCCAGGGCUCAACCUGGGAACUGCCUCCAAAACUGCAUGACUAGAGUACGGUAGAGGGUAGUGGAAUUUCCUGUGUAGCGGUGAAAUGCGUAGAUAUAGGAAGGAACACCAGUGGCGAAGGCGACUACCUGGACUGAUACUGACACUGAGGUGCGAAAGCGUGGGGAGCAAACAGGAUUAGAUACCCGGGUAGUCC